GACGUAGGGUGCGAGCGUUAAUCGGAAUUACUGGGCGUAAAGCGUGCGCAGGCGGUUUUGUAAGCCAGAUGUGAAAUCCCCGGGCUUAACCUGGGAAUGGCAUUUGGGACUGCAAGGCUCGAGUGCGGCAGAGGAGACUGGAAUUCCUGGUGUAGCAGUGAAAUGCGUAGAUAUCAGGAGGAACACCGAUGGCGAAGGCAGGUCUCUGGGCUGACACUGACGCUCAUGCACGAAAGCGUGGGGAGCAAACAGG
rnacentral:rRNA from 1 species